rnacentral:rRNA from 1 species
AUGAACGCUGGCGGCGUGCCUAAUACAUGCAAGUCGAGCGAACAGACGAGGAGCUUGCUCCUCUGACGUUAGCGGCGGACGGGUGAGUAACACGUGGAUAACCUACCUAUAAGACUGGGAUAACUUCGGGAAACCGGAGCUAAUACCGGAUAAUAUAUUGAACCGCAUGGUUCAAUAGUGAAAGACGGUUUUGCUGUCACUUAUAGAUGGAUCCGCGCCGCAUUAGCUAGUUGGUAAGGUAACGGCUUACCAAGGCAACGAUGCGUAGCCGACCUGAGAGGUUGACCGACCACCAUGGAACAAAGACGCCGUCAGGCCUCCAGCGGGGGGCGGAAGAGGGGAAUCAUCAGCAAGGGGAGAGGGCCAGACAGGGAACGGCCGGGGGGUGAAUAAAGGUCUACGAAUAAAAAAACUUUUUUAUAGGGGAAAAACAAUUGGGAAAGAAACUAUCCCCGUCUAGGGAAUACUUAAACAAAAGGCCCCGGAUACAUCCGUA